rnacentral:rRNA from 1 species
AUUGAACGCUGGCGGCAGGCCUAACACAUGCAAGUCGAGCGAGCGGCGGACGGGUGAGUAAUGUCUGGGAAACUGCCUGAUGGAGGGGGAUAACUACUGGAAACGGUAGCUAAUACCGCAUACCAUCAGAUGUGCCCAGAUGGGAUUGGCUAGUAGGUGGGGUAAUGGCUCACCUAGGCGAAGGUCCCUAGCUGGUCUGAGAGGAUGACCAGCAACACUGGAACUGAGACACGGUCCAGACUCCUACGGUGGGAAGCAUUGGGGAAUAUUGCACAAUGGGCGCAAGCCUGAUGCAGCCAUGCCGCGUGUAUGAAGAAGGCCUUCGGGUUGUAAAGUACUUUCAGCGGGGAGGCGUUACCCGCAGAAGAAGCACCGGCUAACUCCGUGCCAGCAGCCGCGGUAAUAC